AAAUGUCGUCACAAAAGAGGAUAAGUAAUUCCGGUCGUUUGUUGGAAUAUUAACAAACGGAUCAAUAAUCUAUAGGAAUGUAGGAAUGGUCUCUGAGAAAUUAAGUGUAUUGUUUAUUAACGUUAAUCCCAAUAUCUGAUUCAUACCAGAGCGUUCAGGGUGUGUACUAAUGACGAUGUUUACCAAAAUAACACUCAGGCUAGUCUUGAUGUUUCUAGAUUAGUAGAUGUUUCUGAACUGAACAAUGAUUUUAGAUUAGUUAAUUCUCUCGCCCGGGUGUGAAAGUAUUAAAGUCAAAGAAAAUCAAUGCUUUUAAAUAGCCAAGUGCAUACAAACACGGAUAUUACACUGGCAUUGCAAUGAUUACACGGUAAAAAUAUAUCAACAUGCAGCUUAAAGGUCGAUCAAAGUAGUACAUACUAAAUAAAGAAAUAAACAAGGUACAUUCAACGGAAUACUGCAGAGAGCAGACGUGGACGGGGUUUACCGAAACCGUUCGUCCAGAAAAAUGGCAAACAAGUUGAGCAGUGUUGUGAUGUGAUAUCUUAUAUGAAAUUGGAAAAACGACGAACAAGGCAACUUUUUCAAUGAAAACUUUUACAAAAAAUCUUUAAAAAUACUUCUAUGCUUUUGAUGCCUCGACUAUUUUGUUGUUUGAAAGCAAAGAUAUACUGCUUUAUAGGCCCGUUUACACUAUGUUGUUAACCCACUGCAUGCUGACACAAUACAUGUUCAAAUGUACUGACAGCGAGAAAAGGGAUAAAAACCUAACUUUGACUUGAUAAAAACCGAACUCAGUUUACAUGAGGAAUGGAUAAAAACCUAACUUACACGAAAAUGUGUGACGGAUAAACACCUAACUGACUAAUAUUCUAUAGAAAUGAAUGAGUUGACAUGUACAUGGUCUGAUUAUUGUAAACAUUAUAAGCGGUAUUGUCUUCAAACUUUGUCAUUAAUUUUACAAGAUGUUAUAUGUAUGCCCACUACAGUCAAAUAUAUUUUCAUAAUUUUAAUAUUAUGCAAAUAGCAAUGUUUGGAAUAGUCUGGAUAAACCCUAAAAAAUAACUCAGUAUAAAGUCAAAAUUAUUAUAUUUACAUAAGAAAUUAUUUAAUACCACCGAUGUUCGAAUUUCUGUAGUACCCAACCCCCACAAUUGUGUUUGGUUCAAAUCUUGUAUAUCGUAUAGUGUAAGAGAUUUUUAUAGAGGUGCUAAUGGAAUAUUUUUCAUAUUGUUUAAAUGGGAUUAGAUUUAUGAUUAAUUAUUAAAUAUGAUAUUUUUCAGACGGUAAAUAGGGAAGAAAAGUGUGUAUGUGUUGUGUGGUAGGGGUGAUGCAUGGAUUGACGGGACAGGGGUGUGGGUAACCUCACAUUUUUCACUUGUUCACGGACACUUAAAAAUCUACUUGUCCAUUGUCAAAUUUCAUUUGCUCUGAUUUGUAAUAUUAAACCUUCAUGAAAGCGCAAAUAGACUAGAGAUCGAGUUCUUUAUUUAGGACAAUGAAAAGAAAAGCAUAUCACAGUAACUGGGGUAAAAAAUAAGCUGUUGAAAUAUUUGCCUUUUAACGUUUAUAAAAGUCUGAAAUCGCGUAAGCAGUGUUCGGGAUGUUUUGAGGUCAUGCCCGAAACACUGCCCACGCAGUUCUGCAAAGCCAGAUGAAUUCAGAGAAAGACUCUUAAAACGUUCCGACUUGUUUUAGUCAAACUUGCGAUCUCUGUGUGCUUUUGAUUUUAAUUUGGCCGACUACUGGGUCAAAUAUUUCCUUUGACAGUGACUUAUUGUCUCAGCAGUUAGAAUUCUACUUACAAACUUGUCAUAAUGCUUUUUUUUAAGUUGUUUACGUUUCUGAUGUCUUUAAAUGUCCGUUUAGUUCUCUGUGUGUAACUCUUGUUUUCCUUUUUUAGUUUUAGUUACAGAAUGCUAUAUGCUGAUGAUGCAAAUAUUGUUCUUCGGCUACUUUAAGUAGUUCUUAUGUUCCCUUUAGCAUGUAUAUGAAUUCUUCUUUUAUGUUUUUUUUAAUGCAUGUUGUACAAUGUGACUCUUCUUAUUUUUGUGUAGUGUCAGAUAAUUUUUUAUGUUGCUUUAAAUGUGCUAAAUCUGUAUGUGGUAAAUUACCUUUUUCCUUGCUAGUACAUAUGUGCUAUUUUGUUUUAAUGCGCUGUAACAUGUAUGAUUUGUGAUUUGUUAAUUAUCUACUUAGAGCCAGAUGCUUUAUUUGCUUUAAUGUGCUUUAACAUAUUUGCAUUUUAUCACAGCUGUUUUACUUAUGUUGAGCUUAUUUACAUGUGUUUGUCGGAAAAUAGCUUUAAGCUAGGGUUAUAUGUUUAUACUUUUCCGACGUUAAAUAAAUCUUCUUGUAUCUAAAUCUUCUCUGAUAUUUUAUCAUAGUUACCGAGUUACAGUGUGUGCGAGACCAAGUCAAAGAACCCAUUAUCUUUAUCACCUCCAUACACUUGAAGCAACACACACUCUAAAUGAUAUUUUAUGUUUUCUUAUUUUAUACCUGAAAAAGUAUGCUUGUCCACGGACACACAGAAUGAAAAAUGCACUUGUCCGCCGGCAAAAAAACAGGAGUCGGAUAAGUUGGACAUAGGAAUUCCACAUCCCUGCAGGGGUGGGUAGAUCAAAGAACUUCGAUCAUCAGCAGUCCAUAAAAAAGCACAGACGAACAGCCGUUUUCGUUUGGUUAGGUGUUUAUCCAUUCUAAGUUCAUAUUUAUCCAGCACUGUUUCCUAUACCAGUUAGGAAUUAUCCUCAAAUUUAAACCUACCUCAUAAUCAAUACAUUUUUUAAGCUAUAAAAAUCAAUUUCAAACUUUGAUACUGUUAAACAUUGUCAAAGAGAUAUUUAUGGAACUAAUACAUUUAAUAAGUAAGGUCUUACUGCAAUUUCUGGUACUUUAAAACAGUUAGAAACAUAAAACAUGUUCAUUUUGAAGACAUUUUUGAGAACAUUUUAUUGAAUUCCGGCCACAUAAUGUGACACUUCGAUUGGAAUAUUUAGUACACAAGACAUUUUAUCAAUACAGGAUAUUAUGACUAUCAAAAGUUUUACGCUAACAUUGCAUACUCACAUAAAACAUGAAAAAAGACAAGGAAAUUAACUACAUACA